ACGUUCAGGAUUAUCAGUGUCAUCAGGAAAAGAAAAGUCAUCACGCAAAAAGCUGGUCGACUCACUGUUACCUGGGAAAUGCAAUUUCAAAUGAGUUGAGACAACUUUUCACUUUCCCCAUAAUGACUAAAAUAAUGAGACAAAGAAAAUCCAGAGAAAAAGUUCCCAGAAGAUAUCGACAUUCUCCCAGCCUCAUUUUUAUGACUCAAUUGAGAAUAGGAAAGGGUGUUUAGGCAAAGAGAAAUGCAGAGACAGCAAGAGGGAGAAAGAUCUCCAUCAACUACUAACCCAGUAAAACCAGUUUGAGUGGAUCAUAGGAAUCCUUGUGGAUAUUGAAAAAUCUUUUUUCUCCAAAGUGGC